rnacentral:snRNA from 1 species
CUUGCACAUGGGUUAGUCGA